UUACAGUAGAAGCAUUUCGUCUGACUCUGGUCGAACUUGGAUUUUUUGGUCUGAUUGGGCUUGGGUGUCCCAGCACUUUGUACCCUUUUCUUAUUUUUCUUGUUCUUCUUUUCUUUUUUAAAGGAUAGAUAUCCAAAAGAAGACCUCCCACAACAUUCACCGACUCCUUUUGGAGCUAGUGAUACUUUCCAAAGUUUUGUAGCAAUCCCAGC
rnacentral:lncRNA from 1 species